rnacentral:rRNA from 1 species
AUUGAACGCUGGCGGCAUGCCUUACACAUGCAAGUCGAACGGCAGCACGGGAGCAAUCCUGGUGGCGAGUGGCGAACGGGUGAGUAAUACAUCGGAACGUUCCCAAUCGUGGGGGAUAACGCAGCGAAAGCUGUGCUAAUACCGCAUACGAUCUACGGAUGAAAGCAGGGGACCGCAAGGCCUUGCGCGAAUGGAGCGGCCGAUGGCAGAUUAGGUAGUUGGUGGGGUAAAGGCUCACCAAGCCAACGAUCUGUAGCUGGUCUGAGAGGACGACCAGCCAAACUGGGACUGAGACACGGCCCAGACUCCUACGGGAGGCAGCAGUGGGGAAUUUUGGACAAAGGGCGCAAGCCUGAUCCAGCCAUGCCGCGUGCAGGAUGAAGGCCUUCGGGUUGUAAACUGCCUUUGUACGGAACGAAACGGCCUUUUCUAAUAAAGAGGGCUAAUGACGGUACCGUAAGAAUAAGCACCGGCUAACUACGUG